rnacentral:lncRNA from 1 species
GGAAAACACAAGUUGUGAUGAAAGGCUCUAUCAAGGGUUCCAAUUUAGACUGAGUGUUGAAGGACCAUGGAUCAGAGGUUGAGACAUUUAGGCUGAGACUUAUCAUUUGGAGAUAGUCAACAAAGAGGCGGAAGAGAAAGUUUCCAGGUGGAAAGAACAUCACUUGCUAAGGCCUGGGACAAGUGGGAAUGGGAGAAUGUAUUGAGCAGAAUGUUUGCUAUGGUUAUGUCAUUGUGUGCAGUGAGGGGUAGAGGCAGAGGGAAGGACCAGAGAUGCCGAUGAAGAGUGACCAGGAUCACAUCACCAGAGCCUAUUCAACCACAGGCAAGUGUCUUGACUUUACCUGGAGGGGAAUGGAAGAGCUACUGAGUGUUUUAAACAUGAAGGACAUAUGAGCAGAUUGAUAUCUUUGGAAAUUCGCUGUGGCUUCUGUAGUAGAUUGAAGUGUGGGAUGCGUUAGGAGGCCUGGAGACUAGGGAGUAGGAGGCUGUUACAGGAACCCCGGCUAAACAGUUCACUAUAGAGUAAUGCUGGGAGUGUGAGCUCUGGGGCCACAAUGUUUGGGCUUAGUCUUACCUGUGUCACUCAAUAGCUGGGAAGCUCUGAGCCAUUACUUUUCUUCUCUGGCCUUUGUUUUUUGCUUCUGUUAAAUAAGGAUGAUGAUAACAAUGAUGCUUAUCUCAUAGGGUUGCUGUGGGUUUAUCACCAUUUAGUGCUCAGAGCAGUUUGUGGCCCAUUCUGGGACUCUGAUAUUCAUAACUAUAAGAUAAUAAAUUUGUAUUGCUUCAAGUUACUAAAUUGGUGACAAUUUGUUAAGCAGCAAUAAGAAACUAAUACAGGACUUUCUGACGAGGCCUGACAGUUGUAAGCUGUAAAAAUCUGGGAAUCAGGAGAUAUAUAUACGUAUGUUUAGAUGGAGUCUUGCUUUGUCACCAGGCUGGAGUGCAGUGGCGCGAUCUCAGCUCACUGCAACCUCCGCCUCCCAGGUUCAAGUGAUUCUCCUGCCUCAGCCUCCCAAGUAGCUGGGACUACAGGCGCGUACCACCACACCCAGCUAAUUGUUGUAUUUUUAGUAGAGAUGAGGUUUCACCAUGUUGGCCAGGAUGGUCUCAAUCUCUUGACCUCAUGAUCUGCCCACCUUAGCCUCCCAAAGUGCUGGGAUUACAGGCAUGAGCCACCAUGCCCAGCUGGUAGUAUAUUAUAAAAGAAAUGAUAUUAGAUACACUGUAUUUUGUGUAGCCUGUGCCCUCCAAAAAUGCUCAUGGUUGAGGGGCCAGUACAGGUAGGAACUGGCUUUCACUGAUAAGCCCUGUGCCUAGGGAAGAGACUCCUUUUGUAAUUUAUCCAUGUAAAAGGGGCAUCUUUUUCAAAUUUACACAUAGUCACUUUGGGUAGCUAAUGGCAGCCCUGCCUGGCACAAAUUAAGUACUCAAUAAAUGAUAUCUGUUACUAACUGUUGUAUGUGAAAAUUACUGAACCUUUCUAUGCCCAUUUUCUUAUCUGUAAAAUAAUGAUCCCUACAUAAUAAAAUUGGUUAUAAGAAUUAUAUUAAUAUAUGCAAAACACUUAAAAUAGUGCCUGGUACAAAUAAGGCAUGCCAAAAAGACAAAUAGGGGUAGGGAGCAUUCAUUCAUUCAACAAUGUUUGAGAGCCAGCUAUGCAGAAGCACAGGGCUGUAGCUGGGGAGAAAGAGACAGAUAUGUCCCUGUCCUCAUAGGGUAAACAAAAAUUUACCCUGAUAAUGAUUUAAAGCUGUGAUGUGUUAUAAAAAUGAAUUCUAGGAAAUGUAGACAAUGAGGAAUAUUUGAGAAAGUUUAGAAGUAGAAAGAACAAGACUCUGAUUAAAGAAGCUGAUUCCAGAAAGAUUGGAAAGGUUUCAAGAAGGAGGGCAAGGUUGGCCAUGUUGCCCACCUUCAGAGCUAGAACCAGAUUACCUAGCUAACUUUGUCUAUGACUUAAGAAAUGAACUGGGAUAGAAAUUAAAACAUGCAAUAAUAUAUUUAGCAUUUAUUUGUUGCACUGUAAAAUUCCCUAAAGGUUAUAAAGAAAAAAAAUAUACGUAUACAUAUAUAUGUAUAUGUGCAUAUUUCACCGAUUUUUAAGCAUAUUAUAUAACAUGAAAGAUUUCUUACUUAAAAUUAUGAAGUAGCAAAUGAAGUCUGGAUCCUAGCUCAUUACAGAUAUUUCAGGAUUGGAUUUAAUUUAUCAUCUUUUUUCCCUUUUGAACUGGGAACAAUGCCCUGAUGAUCUAUUUGGAGAAGAGAUAUGAUAGUAUCUUACGUGACCUGUGCUUGCUCUAUUCUGUUUGCUGUUUCCUGUUUAAUUCUGAUGGUGUUGUGGAUAAGUGAGAUGACCUUCCCUGGAGCAAUUUAUGAAAGCACUGUUGAAUAGAGAACAGAACAUGGUGGAAUAUUCAUGGGCGACUUCAGUAGUUCAGGAUUACUCUCAGACCGAAUUAUUCUUCGGAGCUUUGCUGAGGGCUUAGAGUACCCUAGGCAAUAUAAACGUUUCUUUGAUAUGCUCCUCAGUAUUUCUUCUUUUUAAAGAAUCCCCAAGAGGAUUUGCACCUGAAACUGUAGCUAGUGCCAUUCUUUUUUGCUCUCCUUUUUCUCCUCCCUUCUUUCUAACAAUUCAAAAUGUUGAUGGUGUUUUUUUGGGGGGAGAGAGAUGGCAAAAAGUGUCCAUUGGAAUUUAUAGGCAUGUAGGAGAAAACUGCUUUCCCAUACAACAUUAUGAUGCCAACACUCAGUUGUCAUUUUGGGGGAUUGUUUUUGAACUGAAGGAAAAUGUGUAGCAGCACUAUUGGAUAAAUCAGCAAUCCUGGCUCACCUGUAUCUUUCAAGGAAAGGAAGGCUUGGUGACAGUGUUGAGGGCUGUGGUAGUCACAAUAACAGCCACUCAAAAAUGUCUCUGGAACCCAUGAAUAUAUUUUGACAAGGGGGGAAUAAGUUCAUCAAUCAACUGAAUAUGA